rnacentral:rRNA from 1 species
AGUGAAUAGAUACCCCGGUAGUCCACGCCCUAAACGAUGUCUACUAGUUGUUGGUGGAGUAAAAUACCAUUAGUAAACGCAGCUAAACGCGUGAAGUAGACCGCCUGGGGAGUACGGUCGCAAGAUUAAAACUCAAAGGAAUUGACGGGGGCCCGGCACAAGCGGUGGAUUAUGUGGAUUAAUUCGAUGCAACGCGAAAGACCUUACCUGGCCUUGACAUGCCACUAACGAAGCAGAGAUGCAUUAGGUGCCCGAAAGGGAAAGUGGACACAGGUGCUGCAUGGCUGUCGUCAGCUCGUGUCGUGAGAUGUUGGGUUAAGUCCCGCAACGAGCGCAACCCUUGCCAAUAAUUGCCAUCAUUUAGUUGGGCACUUUAUUGGGACUGCCGGUGACAAACCGGAGGAAGGUGGGGAUGACGUCAAGUCCUCAU